AGAUUCUUAACAUUAAGGACCAUCGUGCUAUUUAUUUACACACCCCUGUAUAAUGUCUUAGAAGUUCACUAAAUAAAAUCUUCUUGCAUAAAAGAAGUUAGAGAAUGUCAGUAUUAAAAAUAGAAAUUCAAGUAGAUCUAUGAGCCGUCAAAUAUGAAAAAUUCACGUGUCAAUAAAAAAAUGUACAAAAAUAUUAAUUAAAAUUAUGCAGACAUGAUUAACAAAUUCUCAUCUUUAUAGGCUUUUAGCAUGGUACGAUAAAUGCAGCUGCUGAGGAAUAUAAGUAAUCGGACGAAAUAAGAAUAUAACAUGAGCAGGCAGUAGUAAUAUUUCGGAGUUAACAUCAAUGGCUCCUUCAAUUUACCCGCCCUGCACUCCAACUGCAUCAUGUACGCCCAUAAGAUGCCACCCCACACCUCCGCCGUGUCAAAAUCCAGAACGUUGCCUAAAAAAAACUACGUCGAAAAAUAUAAAGCCAUGUCUCAGCGCUGUAUCUAUCAUGAGAAGCAGGGAUAAGGCCAGGGCCUCGUGUGGCAGCUGCAAUAAAUUGAGAACUAAUUCAAAAUCCGUAGAAAAUUUUCUAAAAAGGAAAUCUAAAGAGGGAAAAAUGAAAAAGAAGGAUAGAUUGACGGGAAGUCAUAGUUAUACUAAUUAUUCCAAAAAACAAGGCAGUCGUCUAUCUGAAUCCGACUGCUGCUAUGGCAAAGGGCACAGAGGACGAAUGCAGCGACCAAAGAAAUGUUGCGAAAUACUUUGAUAUUUGUA